UUCAACCUGGACACUCCACUAAAAUUUUACAGCUAACCAAUAUCUUUAUAAAGACUGCAAAUUCUACACAGUUUCUCACCACUUUCUGUUCACAACUUAUUGCUAUUCUAAAGAGAAGAAAAUAUGGGUCUGAAAGGUAAGUUGAUUGCUUCAUUAAUACUCAUCAUAUACCCAACAUAAGCCCUAGUAAGAUUAAUCAUUUUGAGAUUCAUGAAG
rnacentral:lncRNA from 1 species